rnacentral:rRNA from 1 species
GACGAACGCUGGCGGCGUGCCUAAUACAUGCAAGUUGAGCGAUGAAGAUUGGUGCUUGCACCAAUUUGAAGAGCAGCGAACGGGUGAGUAACGCGUGGGGAAUCUGCCUUUGAGCGGGGGACAACAUUUGGAAACGAAUGCUAAUACCGCAUAACAACUUUAAACAUAAGUUUUAAGUUUGAAAGAUGCAAUUGCAUCACUCAAAGAUGAUCCCGCGUUGUAUUAGCUAGUUGGUGAGGUAAAGGCUCACCAAGGCGAUGAUACAUAGCCGACCUGAGAGGGGUGUCGGGCACAUUGGGAACUGGAAACCGGCCCAAAUUCCACGGGAGGCAGCAGUAGGGAAAUUUUGGGAAAUGGAGAAAGUCUGAACGGGCCAAGCCGCGUGGGUGGAGGAGGGUUUUCGGUCGUAAAAACCUGUUGGUUGAGGAAAAAGGUGGUGAGAGGUGAAAGCCUAACCAGUGACGGUAACUACCCAGAAAGGGACGGCUAACUACGUG